UAAGCUGCAGAAGCCACAAAGAGCAGAGGAGCCCUCUGCAUUGUGAUUUGGAGCUUGCACAAACCUCUGCCUAGCGAGGAAAGGGAACGGGAACAGAGAGAGGGCAACGUGGGACUGUGGCUCCCUAGCCAUGAAGUCUGCUGGCCACCUCUUCUGGGAGAAAUAGCACAAGCAAGGACUGAGUGAUGGGGCUGAGCAUAGCAAGCUCAUUCUCAUCAUGGCAAAAAGAUUAGGGAGGAGCUGCAAAGUUUGGUACCAAGGGAUUGUGCUUUAAUUGUUUUUUUUUAGUAAUUCACCCCAAAGCACUGAUGGACAUAUUAAUAAGUGGUAAUAAUUGGAAAGGUAAGCUCUGAGCUAGCAAAAUGUUUUUAUUUUUUAUUAUUUUAUUUUUAUUUUUUUUAAUAUUUUUUAUUUUUAUUUAUUCCUUGCCGUCGGAUAGCCAUGUUAAGGAAAGACUGGUGGGACAUCAAAGACAUCUGAACACUCUGGGAGAGUUUUGGCAUGUGAGGCUGAAGUGUCAGCUGAUGCAAAACUUCAAUGAGCUUCAGACUAUUGUGACAGAUACUCCCAAUUUCCACUCUCAGGAACGUGCCUCCCCGAGUUACAAUUUAUUCUGCAUCUCAUAGAUCACUGCAGAAUGGUCCCUGGCAAUUCAGGCAUGCAGCCCUUUAAAAUGAGAUAAUCAUGGAGAAAUGAUAGCUGUAUUGUUACUGAAGAGAAACUGAACAGAUUCUGCAAUAAAGUGGCUGAAACUCCCA
rnacentral:lncRNA from 1 species